GAUGAACGCUGGCCGCGUGCCUAAUACAUGCAAGUCGAGCGAACGGACGAGAAGCUUGCUUCUCUGAUGUUAGCGGCGGACGGGUGAGUAACACGUGGAUAACCUACCUAUAAGACUGGGAUAACUUCGGGAAACCGGAGCUAAUACCGGAUAAUAUUUUGAACCGCAUGGUUCAAAAGUGAAAGACGGUCUUGCUGUCACUUAUAGAUGGAUCCGCGCUGCAUUAGCUAGUUGGUAAGGUAACGGCUUACCAAGGCAACGAUGCAUAGCCGACCUGAGAGUGUGAUCGGCCACACUGGAACUGAGACACGGUCCAGACUCCUACGGGAGGCAGCAGUAGGGAAUCUUCCGCAAUGGGCGAAAGCCUGACGGAGCAACGCCGCGUGAGUGAUGAAGGUCUUCGGAUCGUAAAACUCUGUUAUUAGGGAAGAACAUAUGUGUAAGUAACUGUGCACAUCUUGACGGUACCUAAUCAGAAAGCCACGGCUAACUACGUG
rnacentral:rRNA from 1 species